CUAGCUAAACUAUCAGUCCUUACAAGUACAUGCUGCCGCUUUGAAAAACAAAAUACUCUUUCCACUAGGGAACUAAAAAGGGAAAUAUUUCAGGGAGAAAAAAAGUAAAUCUCAUAGUAAGGAACAGAAUGCACAAACAGAUGUAGAUAUGAUCAAGUUUGUAGUUUUAGUUGUCUUAUAUAAGUUUGGUUAGAAUCGUAACAACAAUAAGUCAUCUCAAAGGUAUCCUAAAGUGAAUAUGGACAGGCGUCUCUAUUGAAGAUCCUGAGAAGAGUAGAAGCUCCCCCUGAUGUAUCCUGCUCCAGAAAAUAUCUUGCCAUUAGAACUUUUGAAAGAUUUUUUUUUCUGACCAAUUUGCUACAAUUUCCUCCAUGGGCCUUAAAAUCCUCCCUCCUUUCAACUGUGUCUUCCAUCCAUGGUACGGAGCUGUUAGUUUUCCACAUGAACUUCAAAAAUCUAUCCAUCAGCUUCUACUCAGCGGACUGUAUUCUGGAUAAAUCAGCUUGACGCCUCAAUCAUUCCCCAAAUUCAUCUGAUCAAUACAAGUGACUCUCAACAACAAAUCAACGUUUUUAGUAUCUGUAUAUAUUUAGCAGCUAACUAUGGAAAACUCAUAAGGAGACAAUGUUGUCAAAGUAAAAUGAUUUCUGGAAAAGUGACUGAAGGUACCUGAAUCCAGGAAGAAUGUAGCAUGUACAAAUUAAUAAAGGUAAUGAAUAGCCUGUGAAUAUUGUUACCACAUCAGCAUUAGGAAGAAAGCCAGACACAAAACAGAAGAGGUUAAGGAGAACUCCACAAAGCCUACAAAGACUGCCUUGCUGCUCUAUCUUAUAAUUAGAUUUCAAGCCAAAGAGUUUGAAUCUGGGAAACUGCAUAAAAACACUUUAUGUCAAAAAAUAUGAAGCGUUUCCAAUGCAACAUACAAAGUGUGGUGUCAUAUAUCCGUAAUUCCUACAUCCUGGGAGGCUGAGGCAGAAAAAUCACAAGGUCAAGCCCAGCCUGGACAACUCAGAAACUCGGACACCACAUGCUGAUGACCGAUCAUCCUUCGCUCACCAGCCAGGAGACCACUGCAGAGGCCCCUCUGCCUCCCGGCUAGAGCUUGGGACAAACCAACCUGGGUGGGUGAAGUUUAUUAGGAAGAAAUUUCCCCCGGAAGUCUCAAUUCUAUGGUGAGACCCCAACUUCCUGCACUCUAGCCUGGGUGUUAGCAAGUAGUCUGUCUUUCAAAGUGUCCCUAACGCAAGCGUCGGAAAACUACCAUCAGCAGACCAAAC
ensembl:lncRNA